rnacentral:rRNA from 1 species
AACCAGCACCUCAAGUGGUCAGGAUGAUUAUUGGGCCUAAAGCAUCCGUAGCCUGUUAUGUAAGUUUUCGGUUAAAUCUAUGCGCUCAACGUAUAGGCUGCCGAAAAUACUGCAAAACUAGGGAGUGGGAGAGGUAGACGGUACUCGGUAGGAAGGGGUAAAAUCCUUUGAUCUAUUGAUGACCACCUGUGGCGAAGGCGGUCUACCAGAACACGUUCGACGGUGAGGGAUGAAAGCUGGGGGAGCAAACCGG